rnacentral:lncRNA from 1 species
UACCUCUCUGCGGUUGGUAAUAUGAGUGGCCGCAUGAUCCACGUUCCCAUCACACGCCCUCAGGCCAAGCCGGGCUUCCUGGGCAGUAAACCCCAACUGCAACAAAUUGUCCACUUUUGAUGGAUCAAUAUAUAGCUCUUUAAAGAGCUGACGUGCCUUCAUUUCCACUGUGAUAGUUUCGGAUCCCUUGAAGUAAGUAGAGUCUUAGAAACAGUACCUUCUCUUUCCCACAAUUUCCCUAAAAUUAUUAUACUUUUAUGUGGACCAGUCUCUGAUGAUUUUCUCCGUAACAAUUUUUAAAGCAUUUCUGGGCCAAGUUUAAUUUUUUUUCUGCAUCAUCAAGGCAUUCCAGCUGUUCCAGGCGGAAGUAACACCACACUAUAUCCAGCUGGAGGACGGCGUAGUUAUCCACUGUGUCCAGCAGCUCUCUGCUGGGGGAAUUCUGAUUGAUCUGCCUGUCUGGUUAGCUAUGUCUAAGUGGUACCUCUCUUUGCCAGUAUUUCUAGUCCUCUCUUGGUCCUCUGAAUUUGUUUUUCUUUGAGUUUGGCCUCAUUUUGCUCCUCUUCCUCUAACUGGAAGUUUUUCCUCGCGUCCUCUUCAGAUUGUUUUAGUUCAAGCACCAUCGCUUUCACAUUGUGAGCCACGCCUUGUUCUUCAAGGGUUUUCCC